GUGUCAGCCGCCGCGGUAAAACGUAGGAGACAAACGUUAUCCGGAGUUACUGGGCGUAAAGGGCGUGCAGGCGGCUGUUUAAGUUCGGCGUGAAAGGCUUCGGCUCAACCGGGGUAGGUCGUCGGAUACUGGACAGCUUGAGGGUGAUAGAGGCGGGUGGAAUUCCGGGUGUAGUGGUGAAAUGCGUAGAGAUCCGGAGGAACACCAGUGGCGAAGGCGACCCGCUGGAUCACACCUGACGCUGAGACGCGACAGCAUGGGGAGCGAACGGGAUUAGAAACCCUGGUAGUCC
rnacentral:rRNA from 1 species